rnacentral:rRNA from 1 species
UUUCAUGGAGAGUUUGAUCCUGGCUCAGGACGAACGCUGGCGGCGUGCUUAACACAUGCAAGUCGAACGGAAAGGCCUCGCUUGCGGGGUACUCGAGUGGCGAACGGGUGAGUAACACGUGGGUGAU